rnacentral:rRNA from 1 species
AGUGAAGGAGCUUGCUCUUUCAUUUAGUGGCGCACAGGUGAGUAACGCGUAGAUAAUCUGCCUUGGACUCUGGGAUAACAUCUCGAAAGGGGUGCUAAUACCGGAUAAGCCCACGAUGGCGUAAGUCAUUGCGGGAAAAGGGGGCCUCUGAAUAUGCUCCUGAUUCAAGAUGAGUCUGCGUACCAUUAGCUAGUUGGUAGGGUAAGAGCCUACCAAGGCGACGAUGGUUAGCUGGUCUGAGAGGAUGAUCAGCCACACUGGAACUGAGACACGGUCCAGACUCCUACGGGAGGCAGCAGUGGGGAAUUUUGCGCAAUGGGGGAAACCCUGACGCAGCAACGCCGCGUGAGUGAUGAAGGCUUUCGGGUCGUAAAGCUCUGUCUAGAGGGAAGAAAUGAUAGUCGGUUAAUACCCGGUUUUCUUGACGGUACCUCUGAAGGAAGCACCGGCUAACUCCGUGCCAGCAGCCGCGGUAAUACGGAGGGUGCAAGCGUUGUUCGGAUUUAUUGGGCGUAAAGCGCGUGUAGGCGGUUUGUUAAGUCUGAUGUGAAAGCCCUGGGCUCAACCUGGGAAGUGCAUUGGAAACUGGCAGACUUGAAUACGGGAGAGGGUAGUGGAAUUCCUAGUGUAGGAGUGAAAUCCGUAGAUAUUAGGAGGAACACCGGUGGCGAAGGCGGCUACCUGGACCGAUAUUGACGCUGAGACGCGAAAGCGUGGGGAGCAAACAGGAUUAGAUACCCUGGUAGUCCACGCCGUAAACGAUGAGUACUAGGUGUUGCGGGUAUUGACCCCUGCAGUGCCGCAGCUAACGCAUUAAGUAC